AACGCGAAGAACCUUACCUGGGCUUGAACUACUCGUGGUAGUUCGCUGGAAACAGUGGACGACCCGCAAGGGAGCGAGCAGAGGUGCUGCAUGGUUGUCGUCAGCUCGUGUCGUGAGAUGUUGGGUUAAGUCCCGCAACGAGCGCAACCCCUAUCUCAUGUUGCUAAUCCCGUAAGGGAUGCACUCUUGAGAAACUGCCUUCGAUAAGAAGGAGGAAGGUGGGGACGACGUCAAAUCCUCAUGGCCCUUAUGUCCAGGGCUACACACGUGUUACAAUGGCCGGUACAAUGGGAAGCAAUGCCGCAAGGUGGAGCCAAACCCACAAAGCCGGCCCCAGUUCAGAUUGUGGGCUGCAACUCGCCCACAUGAAGGCGGAAUCGCUAGUAAUCGCUGAUCAGCAGGCAGCGGUGAAUACGUUCCCGGGCCUUGUA
rnacentral:rRNA from 2 species